rnacentral:snRNA from 1 species
AUAUUUACCUGGCAUGGGAGAUGCCAUGACCAUGAAGGUGGUUUCCCAGGGUGUGGCUUAUCCAUUGCCCUCCAGAUCCCUCUGGAUCCCUCCAGAUCCCUCCAGAUCCCUCUAGUUCCCUCCGGAUCUCUGGAUGUGCUGAC